rnacentral:rRNA from 1 species
AUUGAACGCUGGCGGCAGGCCUAACACAUGCAAGUCGAACGAGGGGCGGACGGGAGAGUAAUGUCUGGGAAACUGCCUGAUGGAGGGGGAAAACUACUGGAAACGGUAGCUAAUACCGCAUACCAUCGGAUGUGCCCAGAGGGGAUUAGCUUGUUGGUGGGGUAACGGCGCACCAAGGCGACGCUCCCUAGCUGGUCGGAGAGGAUGACCAGCCACACUGGGACUGAGACACGGUCCAGACUCCUACGGGAGGCAGCAGUGGGGAAUAUUGCACAAUGGGCGCAAGCCUGAUGCAGCCAUGCCGCGUGUAUGAAGAAGGCCUUCGGGUUGUAAAGUACUUUCAGCGGGGAGGCGUUACCCGCAGAAGAAGCACCGGCUAACUCCGUGCCAGCAGCCGCGGUAAUUC